UACGUAGGGUGCGAGCGUUAAUCGGAAUUACUGGGCGUAAAGCGUGCGCAGGCGGUUUUGUAAGGCAGGUGUGAAAUCCCCGGGCUCAACCUGGGAAUGGCAUUUGGGACUGCAAGGCUGGAGUGCGGCAGAGGAGACUGGAAUUCCUGGUGUAGCAGUGAAAUGCGUAGAUAUCAGGAGGAAUACCGAUGGCGAAGGCAGGUCUCUGGGCUGACACUGACGCUCAUGCACGAAAGCGUGGGGAGCAAACAGG
rnacentral:rRNA from 1 species